UACGGAGGGAGCUAGCGUUGUUCGGAAUUACUGGGCGUAAAGCGCACGUAGGCGGCUUGUAAGUUAGAGGUGAAAGCCUGGGCUCAACUCCAGAAUUGCCUUUAAGACUGCAUCGCUAGAAUUGUGGAGAGGUAAGUGGAAUUCCGAGUGUAGAGGUGAAAUUCGUAGAUAUUCGGAAGAACACCAGUGGCGAAGGCGACUUACUGGACACAUAUUGACGCUGAGGUGCGAAAGCGUGGGAGCAACAGG
rnacentral:rRNA from 1 species